AGGCACACUUGUAGAUGGCAACUGAUGCUUAUCCUCAUGCCGCUUUUUUUUCCCAUGCCUGAGUCAUUACUCAGAAGAAGCCCAUGAUGGGGUUUCAACAGUCUUAGCAGCCUCAGGUGGACCAGGUCAGUAAUAAAGCUUAUGCUACCGAAUAUUUUCCAAGGACUGAAUUCACCAUUAUACAUAUUUCCCCUUUAUUGCUCUAUGGGGAGCCACAACAAAGCUGCCUCAGGCCUUGAGAGAGCAAGAAGAUCUUUUUGGAGGUGGAUGGGAGCUGGAUCAGGUCUAAUUUGCAAAUUAAAUGAAGUCAGCAGCCAGUCCAGCUGAAAGUCAGCUGAAACCUGUAUGUAACAGGUGAAAGAAAGAAAGAAAAAGAGAAGGAAGAAUGUGUCCACCACACUCAUGGUGAAAUGGAAGAGAGUGAAGAGCUCACCAAGCCAUCUUCAAAAAGCUUGCAGAAGUGCACAUCAAGGUGCAGCACAGAGGGAAAACAAGGGCCUUACACAAGAAGCGUGAUAUAGAUCACUGCGCUCCACUUGGAAGAGGAAGUGUGAAAGGAGGCACCAAGACAGUUAAGGUAAGAGCAAAAAAUAAAAUAUGAACCUGAAUACACAUUCGUAUUCUAAUAAAGCUUCAUUCUUCCCAACCAGAAAAAGUAAUUUAAUCAGCUGCAAUUUUGUUUCCACUUACCUUUUUUUUUCCCUGUAUUGAUUUUGUUUCCUUUCAGUUUUCAUUGUAGAAUAUAAUAAUUUGAAUUAAAUUUGAUUUGUAAAUACCUUCAAAGUUUUCUGACAAAAGCUGGGAUUUGGGGUGGAGGAGGAACAGUGCAGGAAAUUAAUUACAACAAUCUCUGGUAGAAAAAUGUUAAAAUAAAUAAAUAAAUAUGUUAAGUGAGGCAUUUUCUGAUGGAAUACUUUUAAGAUCUAUGAAAGAAAAUACA